GGCCCUUCGGGGUACUCGAGUGGCGAACGGGUGAGUAACACGUGGGUGAUCUGCCCUGCACUUUGGGAUAAGCCUGGGAAACUGGGUCUAAUACCGAAUAGGACCACGCGCUUCAUGGUGUGUGGUGGAAAGCUUUUGCGGUGUGGGAUGGGCCCGCGGCCUAUCAGCUUGUUGGUGGGGUAAUGGCCUACCAAGGCGACGACGGGUAGCCGGCCUGAGAGGGUGACCGGCCACACUGGGACUGAGAUACGGCCCAGACUCCUACGGGAGGCAGCAGUGGGGAAUAUUGCACAAUGGGCGCAAGCCUGAUGCAGCGACGCCGCGUGAGGGAUGACGGCCUUCGGGUUGUAAACCUCUUUCAAUAGGGACGAAGCGCAAGUGACGGUACCUAUAGAAGAAGCACCGGCCAACUACGUGCCAGCAGCCGCGGUAAUACGUAGGGUGCGAGCGUUGUCCGGAAUUACUGGGCGUAAAGAGCUCGUAGGUGGUUUGUCGCGUUGUUCGUGAAAACUCACAGCUUAACUGUGGGCGUGCGGGCGAUACGGGCAGACUAGAGUACUGCAGGGGAGACUGGAAUUCCUGGUGUAGCGGUGGAAUGCGCAGAUAUCAGGAGGAACACCGGUGGCGAAGGCGGGUCUCUGGGCAGUAACUGACGCUGAGGAGCGAAAGCGUGGGGAGCGAACAGGAUUAGAUACCCUGGUAGUCCACGCCGUAAACGGUGGGUACUAGGUGUGGGUUCCUUCCUUGGGAUCCGUGCCGUAGCUAACGCAUUAAGUACCCCGCCUGGGGAGUACGGCCGCAAGGCUAAAACUCAAAGGAAUUGACGGGGGCCCGCACAAGCGGCGGAGCAUGUGGAUUAAUUCGAUGCAACGCGAAGAACCUUACCUGGGUUUGACAUGCACAGGACGCCGGCAGAGAUGUCGGUUCCCUUGUGGCCUGUGUGCAGGUGGUGCAUGGCUGUCGUCAGCUCGUGUCGUGAGAUGUUGGGUUAAGUCCCGCAACGAGCGCAACCCUUGUCCUAUGUUGCCAGCGGGUUAUGCCGGGGACUCGUAGGAGACUGCCGGGGUCAACUCGGAGGAAGGUGGGGAUGACGUCAAGUCAUCAUGCCCCUUAUGUCCAGGGCUUCACACAUGCUACAAUGGCCGGUACAAAGGGCUGCGAUGCCGURRGGUGGARYGAAUCCUUUCAAARCCGGUCUYARUUCGGAUCGGGGUCUGCAACUCGACCCCGUGAAGUCGGAGUCGCUAGUAAUCGCAGAUCAGCAACSCUGCGGUGAAUACGUUCCCGGGCCUUGUACACACCGCCCGUCACGUCAUGAAAGUCGGUAACACCCGRAGCCGG
rnacentral:rRNA from 1 species